rnacentral:rRNA from 1 species
GACGAACGCUGGCGGCGUGCCUAAUACAUGCUAGUAGAACGCUGAAGAGAGGAGCUUGCUCUUCUUGGAUGAGUUGCGAACGGGUGAGUAACGCGUAGGUAACCUGCCUUGUAGCGGGGGAUAACUAUUGGAAACGAUAGCUAAUACCGCAUAACAAUAGGUGACACAUGUCAUUUAUUUGAAAGGGGCAAUUGCUCCACUACAAGAUGGACCUGCGUUGUAUUAGCUAGUAGGUGAGGUAACGGCUCACCUAGGCGACGAUACAUAGCCGACCUGAGAGGGUGAUCGGCCACACUGGGACUGAGACACGGCCCAGACUCCUACGGGAGGCAGCAGUAGGGAAUCUUCGGCAAUGGGGGCAACCCUGACCGAGCAACGCCGCGUGAGUGAAGAAGGCUUUCGGAUCGUAAAGCUCUGUUGUAAGUCAAGAACGAGUGUGAGAGUGGAAAGUUCACACUGUGACGGUAGCUUACCAGAAAGGGACGGCUAACUACGUG